UACGGAGGGUGCGAGCGUUGUCCGGAAUCACUGGGCGUAAAGGGCGCGUAGGCGGCGCGAGCAGUCGAUCGUGAAAGUCCGGAGCUCAACUCCGGAUCGGCGGUCGAUACUCUCGUGCUUGAGCACUGUAGAGGCAGAUGGAAUUCCGGGUGUAGCGGUGGAAUGCGUAGAUAUCGGGAGGAACACCAGUGGCGAAGGCGGCUUCCUGGCCUGUUUCUUGACGCUGAGGCGCGAAAGCUAGGGGAGCAAACGGGG
rnacentral:rRNA from 1 species